GAAGACCGGCAAGAUGCAUUUCUGCAAAGUGUUUGUGGCACAAAAAGCCUUAAGAAUGAAGCCUAUAAAGUUCUAAAAAGGAACUAAGGAAAGGAUUUGCAGGCUUAGAAAAUAACCAGUCAGCUUGAUCUCACUUGCAGCAAAUGUGUGAAGAGACAGAGGAACCCAUGGAGAUUCGGUGAGAAUUUAAACAGAACAUAUUGAAGGCUGCACUGACAACUGUGGAUUCAAAGCAGAUGAAAAAUGAGUGCUGGAGCAGCAAUGGAACACUGCAGUGGCACAUUACGUUAGUGCAAACUGGUGCUGAUGCUAGGAGGCUGUACCCACUCUGUCAGGAUUCAAAAUAUUACCACAAUCAGCAACAUGCCUCAAUUGUUGUUUUCUCUGAAACAUGCCAUGAAUGUAUUUCACAAAAAGAAGUCUCAACAGUUUUGACAAAUAGUCCAGUUAUCAUCAGAUGAAGAAAAAAAAAAGGCAAGAGGACAAAUUGAGGUAUAAAAAAUAACUACUGUGUGCCUUGCUAUGAUUAUAAGCAAUGCCUAUGUAAGCUUUAACAUCCUGUUGAGAUGAAACACCUCAGCUCCACAAGUAUUCUGCUCCCGUUAUUGGCUGUGCCUCAAGUUAUCAGGCCAUUUUUAAGCACGUGUCUGAUUGUAAGCCCAUGAAUAGUAAAGUGCAAAUGAUUUCAGUGGGAGGGCUCACAGCCAUAAAGCUUGCAAUAGUCUUGCAU
rnacentral:lncRNA from 1 species